UCUAAUGUAAAAAAUAUUGAAAUGGACAAGGGAAAAAUGUACCCAUGGUCUUAAAUAUGAGAGUGAUUAUAAGAAUGAAGCAGAAAAUAUGGCUUCCAGAGAUAUUUAUUCAUGUCAUGAAUAAAAUAUGUAAUAUAGAAUAAGCCUCUCCUCUGUCAUGUCAUCAUGUCCAAUUUUGUGAGCUCUUUGACUCAGAAACUCUCUGAAGCUUUAAGUGGCCUCCUCGGCUGAGCACACCUGGGUCAGUAAUGAACCAUUUGCAAAGGGCUCUGUGUGUUGUGGUUGGAGAUGCUGAGGAGGAGGCCAAUGCAGUUAUAUUAGCUGCCAUAAAACAAG